CUUUUCUUGUUAGUUUUUGAAGUAUGGCCUGCCCGCUGACGUUGAGUUGAAGGGCCGCGGUAUUUUGACCGUGCAAAGGUAGCAUAAUCAUUAGUUCUUUAAUUGUGAUCUGGAAUGAAUGGCUUGACGAGACACAAGCUGUCUUAAUGUUGAAUGUUUUAUUGAAUUUGGUCUUUGAGUUAAAAUUCUUAGAUGUUUUUAUGGGACGAGAAGACCCUAUAGAGUUUAACAUUUGGUUUACUUAUUUGUUGUUGUUUGUUUGUUUUGUUGGUAAGUGGACUUUUUGUUUUGUUGGGGUGAUGAGAGGAAUGAUUUAACUCCUCUUGGUUUUGGUUAUAUUGAUUUAUAUUUAUUUGAUCCAUUUAUUUUGAUUAUAAGACUAAAUUACCUUAGGGAUAACAGCGUUAUCUUCCUUGAGAGUUCUUAUCGGCAGGGGGGUUUGCGACCUCGAUGUUGGAUUAAGGUGAAUUUUUGGUGUAGGGGCUGAAAGUUAUAUUAGGUCUGUUCGACCUUUGGAAUCUUACA
rnacentral:rRNA from 1 species